GGCUCCAUAGUGUAGUGGUUAGCACGUCUGCUUUACACGCAGAAGGUCCUGGGUUCGUGCCCCAGCUGGAGCCA
rfam:Pteropus alecto contig693, whole genome shotgun sequence.